rnacentral:rRNA from 1 species
AACGUAGGGGGCCAGCGUUGCUCGGAAUUACUGGGCGUAAAGGGUCUGUAGGCGGUGCGGCAAGUCGGAAGUGAAAUCGCAGGGCUUAACUCUGCGGCUGCUUCCGAAACUGCCGUGCUCGAGUGUGAGAUAGGCGAGUGGAAUUGCAGGUGUAGCGGUGAAAUGCGUAGAUAUCUGCAGGAACACCUGUGGCGAAAGCGGCUCACUGGACCAUUACUGACGCUGAGGCACGAAAGCUAGGGGAGCAAACAGG